GUUACUGGUUCUGUUUCAGGAAUGACAGGUUGAGCCACCUGCACUAUUGCAGCGUCAACAACUGAAGGCUCCACUGGUGGAGUCUCAAUGACCGGUGCUUCUUCAGUGACCCGGGCUGGGACUUCCACCUCAACUUCAGCUGAAGUCUGUUCCAACACCACAGCCUCAGGCUGUAGCAAAGACUGUGGCACCUCUACCUCAACUGGGACGGGCUCUGCGACUGGUUCUUUCACAACUGGUUCUGGUUCUAUCACAACUGGUUCUGGUUCUUUCACAACUGGUUCUGGUUCUAUCACCACUGGUUCUGGUUCUUUCACAACUGGUUCUGGUUCUAUCACAACUGGUUCUGGUUCUUUCACAACUGGUUCUGGUUCUAUCACCACUGGUUCUGGUUCUUUCACAACUGGUUCUGGUUCUUUCACAACUGGUUUUGGUUCUACUCUGGGGGUCUCCACAACGGGGACAGCAAUGCGAACGGCCUCUGGGAUCUUUUUUGGAGCUGGAGCUGGAGUUUUAGCUUUCUUUGGGGCUGCAGCAGGGGGCGCACUCACUGCAAUCCCGGGGCUCGUUUUGACUGGCGGAUUGGCUGAAUGUUGCUCUUCAAGGGCUCUCCUCUGGGCCUGCUGCAAGAGAGAAAAGAUAUAAGUUAAUGGUUGUUGUCAUUACAUGAAUACCAGACAUGCCAUCCCAGCCACAUCCAACAUGUUUUUCAGCAGUGGACAAAAUCCCCUCAGGCUUUAAUGGAGGUUUUAGGAGCCCAGACUCCUGGAGGGAGGGGCUGGGUAACUGGGAAUAGGCCCAGCAAAGCUAGUUAGAUAAUGGGAGCUAAUUAGUUGAAUCGGAGUGGUCCUGACAGGUCUGGUGAAGCGGGAAUGGAAACCGUGCGAGUCAGCAGCACUGAUGGGUGCCCCACGGGCCAGACAGUGGGCAUAAUCACAUUAUAAUCAGGUUAUAAUCAGGUUACAAUCACUUGACAAGAAUGCUUUUGUUAGGCCCACUGCCGGUUAGGCAUUCACAGUGCUAGACCAAUGCUGUAUGCCAACAAGGCAUGAGUGUGUAAGUACAUAUGUCUACACUCAUCCACCUAGCCACCGUCAAAACAACCUCUUCCUUAUCUUUGCCUGCAUACAACUUGCUUUCUAAAACUCCACACCUCACUACCACAGAGUAAUAUACAAGUUCAAUUAAUCAAAGCAAUUCCUUGUGUUCCUCGGGCUGUAUUAAGGAGGCCAAGCCACCCUUGGGGAGAAAUUCUUUUUAUCAAAGUUUGGGUGCUUACAUACAAAGGCAUGCGUGGCCAAAGAGGAGCCCUCAGCUUGACGACUUCAAGUGUCCAGCUGCUCCUUCCCCUCUCUGCUCUGAUGUCUCUGAGGGAAUUGGUGAUAACACAGAGCUGUAAGUGACUCCUAGGCCCAUUUUUAUCUGUGUGUCACUGGCAGACUCAGAAUCAGAGAUUGUGCAGACUCCAAUCUGGCAAAACUAAUGCAAGACAUUCCUCCAGUCAACACACUACCAAAUACAGUUGUGUGGUGCUGAGAGUCAUGGACUGGCCAGCCAGCGAGAGGCAGGAGGGGCUGUGGAACAAUGCCAUAAACUCCAUACCUAGAAGUCUUCCCAGAGCUGGAGGACCAGGCUUCAAGUCAGCCUUUAGUGGUGAAGUAAGUAAUCAAUUUUAAAUUAGAAAUUAUAAUAAAGCAGGGUGACAAUUAUGAUUGGGAAAGAAAUUACAGAAAACAGUGUUUGGUGAUGGAGUAACCUUUGCCCUCUGAGAAAUUGGAGCUUCUGUGCUACUUGCUCACUCAUUAUACAUCCCUCCCCUUCCUGCCCCUCUCUGCCACACCCACUUCUUCUCUUUGAGCACUGAAUGUUCAGAAGUAGAAAUAAUUGCCAAAAGUGAGAUAAUAGUCAAUUAUCAUGUCAUGGCAGCUUCAGAAUAUUGAAUUAUGUAAUUUGUAUAGUGCAUGCUAAGUGAAUCUAUAUUUAGGAAUGUGGAAGGAUAUAUUUUCACGUUUAAUGACUAUGAACACAUAAAUAUAAUUAACCUGAAAUUACCAUCCCAGAAUUGACCCUUUUAGCUUGCUUUCCCAGCGCAUGUACACUGAGAGCGCAUGAGAGUUAAGCCAAGAAGUUUAUUUGUCUCUUGCAUCCAUGGCAAAGCCAGAUGCAUCUGAAGUGUCGUGCUACUAAAAAUGACUGCAUGAUUUCGAUCAAAUAAAAACAAAUUGUGCAGCCUUCUAUCUUUGCUGAUUUACGCACGGAGCCUGGAGUCCCUCGGAGUCGUGAGCGUCACAAGAAAAACAAGUGUGAAUGUGCUGUCAAAUAAGUAAUCAUUGACAUCAACAGAAUCACAAACCCAUGUGCCAAUUAAAAGGAAACAAAAAUGUU